AAUUUAAGUUCGCGGCCCACAGUAACCAACAGCAGCAGAGCCAAAGAGAACGACGAAGUGAGCCAGCAGCCCGAGAGCGGCCAGCAGCAGAGCAGCAGAACGAAACGAGAACGACGACGCGAGCCGCCAACAGAACAGAGAGAGCAACGCCGAGAGCCAGCAGCAGAGCAGCAGAACGAAACGAGAACGACGACGAGAGCCAGCAGAAGAGCGGCAGAAGCAGAGCCAGAGAUCAACGCCGAGAGCCAGCAGCAGAGCAGCAGAGCGAGAGAGCAAGGGCGCCGGCAGCAGUCCGAGAGCCACGGGCGUGGGCAGCGACGGCAGCGCAGCCCGGACAAGGGACCGCAGCUAAGGGCUCGCGAUCGCCACGCAGAGCUCGCCUCAAAAAGAAAUGUUUCGAACACCGGGAGGACCAGUCGAGAUCGCUGCGGCGACAAAAGUGAAAAGAGUAAAAAGUGCGCCAUAACCCCAACGUUGCCCACGAGAGGCUCAAAAACACGUGCCCACGAGAGGCUCAAGACACCGAGCGACAGGCGAGGAGACAAAAAGACCGAUAGGCUCGAGAGGAUCGGGUAAGCGAGGCUGUGGGCCUCACCCUUUUUCUAGUACGUCUUAGUUUGGUGCGACGUAGGUAGGGACAUAGGAAAUUUAAGUACAUACGGCGGUAAGACAGGGAAAAAGACAAGGAAAAAUAUGAAAUAAAGAUAUGAAAAAAAGAAACAAAACUAAACAAUGUGCUCGUGUGUAACAGUGUAAAUUUAACCCUUUCCCCCCCUCCCAAAGUGCAAGACGGUAAGUGUGGUCGCCCACCGUUGGAGGCUCCGCUGGGCUGGUCGCAGGUCACUACCGCGCCAGACCGCGGGCUCUCAAACGGCGCGUGCCUACCUCCGAAACGGGUGCUGCCUAGGUACUAC
rnacentral:lncRNA from 1 species